UACGGGGGGAGCAAGCGUUGUUCGGAUUUACUGGGCGUAAAGGGCGCGUAGGCGGCCACCGCAAUCCGUUUGUGAAAGUCAAAGGCUCAACCUUUGAAAGCCGGUGGAUACUGUGAGGCUAGAGUACGGAAGAGGCGAGUGGAAUUCCUGGUGUAGCGGUGGAAUGCGCAGAUAUCAGGAGGAACACCAAUAGCGAAGGCAGCUCGCUGGGACGUUACUGACACUGAGGCGCGAAAGCGUGGGGAGCGAACAGG
rnacentral:rRNA from 1 species